rnacentral:rRNA from 1 species
UACGGGGGGGGCAAGCGUUGUUCGGAAUUACUGGGCGUAAAGGGCUCGUAGGCGGCCAACUAAGUCAGACGUGAAAUCCCUCGGCUUAACCGGGGAACUGCGUCUGAUACUGGAUGGCUUGAGGUUGGGAGAGGGAUGCGGAAUUCCAGGUGUAGCGGUGAAAUGCGUAGAUAUCUGGAGGAACACCGGUGGCGAAGGCGGCAUCCUGGACCAAUUCUGACGCUGAAUAGCGAAAGCCAGGGGAGCAAACGGG